rnacentral:rRNA from 1 species
GACGAACGCUGGCGGCGUGCUUAACACAUGCAAGUCGAACGAAGUGGCGAACGGGUGAGUAACGCGUAAUCAACCUUCCCUUCAGAGGGGGACAACAGUUGGAAACGACUGCUAAUACCGCAUACUGAAGGCGGGGAUUGCGUUUGCUUAGAUAGUUGGUGGGGUAACGGCCCACCAAGUCUAUGAUCAGUAGCCGGUCUGAGAGGAGGAACGGCCACAUUGGGACUGAGACACGGCCCAGACUCCUACGGGAGGCAGCAGUGGGGAAUCGUCCGAAAUGGACGAAAGUCUGACGGAGCAACGCCGCGUGAGUGAUGACGGCCUUCGGGUUGUAAAGCUCUGUUAAUCGGGACGCGGUACCGAAAUAGAAAGCCACGGCUAACUACGUGCCAGCAGCCGCGGUAAUAC